rnacentral:rRNA from 1 species
GACGAACGCUGGCGGCGCGCCUAACACAUGCAAGUCGAACGAGCGAGAGAGAGCUUGCUUUCUCGAGCGAGUGGCGAACGGGUGAGUAACGCGUGAGGAACCUGCCUCAAAGAGGGGGACAACAGUUGGAAACGACUGCUAAUACCGCAUAAGCCCACGACCCGGCAUCGGGUAGAGGGAAAAGUAGCAAUCCGCUUUGAGAUGGCCUCGCGUCCGAUUAGCUAGUUGGUGAGGUAACGGCCCACCAAGGCGACGAUCGGUAGCCGGACUGAGAGGUUGAACGGCCACAUUGGGAAUGAGACACGGACCAGACUCCUACGGAAGGCAGCAGUAGGGAAUAUUGCACAAUGGGGGCAAACCUGAUGCAGCGACGCCGCGUGGAGGAAGAAGGUCUUCGGAUUGUAAACUCCUGUUGUAGAGGAAGAUAAUGACGGUACUCAACAAGGAAGUGACGGCUAACUACGUG